AGAUUGAACGCUGGCGGCAGGCCUAACACAUGCAAGUCGAGCGCGAAAGUUCCUUCGGGAAUGAGUAGAGCGGCGGACGGGUGAGUAACGCGUAGGAAUUUGCCCAGUAGUGGGGGACAACUCGGGGAAACUCGAGCUAAUACCGCAUACGCCCCAAGGGGGAAAGCAGGGGAUCUUCGGACCUUGCGCUAUUGGAUAAGCCUGCGUCGGAUUAGCUAGUUGGUGGGUAAGGGCCUACAAGGCAACGAUCCGUAGCUGGUCUGAGAGGAUGAUCAGCCACACUGGGACUGAGACACGGCCCAGACUCCUACGGGAGGCAGCAGUGGGGAAUAUUGGACAAUGGGGGCAACCCUGAUCCAGCCAUGCCGCGUGUGUGAAGAAGGCCUUAGGGUCGUUAAAGCACUUUCAGUGGGAGGAAAAGCUGGCGGCUAAUAUCCGUCGGCCCUGACGUUACCCACAACGAAGAAGCACCGGCAAACUCCGUAGCUAGCAGCCG
rnacentral:rRNA from 1 species